rnacentral:rRNA from 1 species
GAUGAACGCUGGCGGCGUGCUUAACACAUGCAAGUCGAACGGUGAAGGCGGAGCUUGCUCUGCUGGAUCAGUGGCGAACGGGUGAGUAACACGUGAGCAAUCUGCCCCUGACUCUGGGAUAAGCGCUGGAAACGGCGUCUAAUACUGGAUACGAGCUGCGAAGGCAUCUUCAGCAGCUGGAAAGAACUUCGGUCAGGGAUGAGCUCGCGGCCUAUCAGCUUGUUGGUGAGGUAACGGCUCACCAAGGCGUCGGCGGGUAGCCGGCCUGAGAGGGUGACCGGCCACACUGGGACUGAGACACGGCCCAGACUCCUACGGGAGGCAGCAGUGGGGAAUAUUGCACAAUGGGCGAAAGCCUGAUGCAGCAACGCCGCGUGAGGGACGACGGCCUGCGGGUUGUAAACCUCUUUUAGCAGGGAAGAAGCGAAAGUGACGGUACCUGCAGAAAAAGCGCCGGCUAACUACGUG